GCCAAACAUCCUCGUGCAACCGGGAACUAAAUGGACAGAGAGAUGCCGUCGGUGUAUUUGUGUGGGUGAUACAGGAUUGUCCGAGUGUUCAGAACCACAAUGUGUCAUCCCAUAUCAACCUUAUCAAGAGGAUGUUUGUCUAAAGGUCCAAAUUGUAAAGUGCCACCUUUAAACAUAGGUGAAGAAAAUAGUAUCACAAAUACUGGUGACAUAAAGUACAUAAAAUUAGAGGAGACGAAGAUGAUAUUUAUUGGACAUCCUCGCUUUUCAUGGAGUUGCACCUGUCAGAAAGCUGGAGUGGAUGCAGAAUGUUCCAGACAAUCUAGAUUAGUUUAAUCUGUUUUAAAAUGGCUACUAAGAAACAAACCCUUCUCCAAAGUGCAGAACAUUUGUGAUUUUUGCCAUUUGUCACGAAAGAACA